rnacentral:rRNA from 1 species
UUAGAGUUUGAUCCUGGCUCAGGAUGAACGCUAGCGGCAGGCUUAAUACAUGCAAGUCGAACGGCAGCGGGUCCAGCAAUGGAUGCCGGCGAGUGGCGCACGGGUGCGUAACACGUAUGCAACCUACCUUUAACCGGGACAUAACCUCGAGAAAUCGUGGCUAAUAUUCCAUAAUAUCUUUGAAUCGCAUGGUUUGAAGAUCAAAAUUCCGAUGGUUUUAGAUGGGCAUGCGCGACAUUAGCUAGUUGGUGAGGUAAUGGCUCACCAAGGCUACGAUGUUUAGGGGGUCUGAGAGGAUGAUCCCCCACACUGGUACUGAGACACGGACCAGACUCCUACGGGAGGCAGCAGUAAGGAAUAUUGGGCAAUGGGCGCAAGCCUGACCCAGCCAUGCCGCGUGCAGGAUGACAGCCCUACGGGUUGUAAACUGCUUUUAUACGGGAAAAAACCCUCUGACGUGUCAGAGGCUGAUGGUACCGUAAGAAUAAGCAUCGGCUAACUCCGUGCCAGCAGCCGCGGUAAUACGGAGGAUGCAAGCGUUAUCCGGAUUUACUGGGUUUAAAGGGUGCGCAGGCGGAACGACAAGUCAGUGGUGAAAUCUCCUGGCUCAACCAGGAAACUGCCAUUGAUACUAUCGUUCUUGAGUCCAGUUGAAGUAGGCGGAAUGCAACAUGUAGCGGUGAAAUGCUUAAAUAUGCUACAGAACACCGAUAGCAAAGGCCGCUUACUAAACUGAAACUGACGCUCAUGCACGAAAGCGUGGGGGAUCAAACAGGAUUAGAUACCCUGGUAGUCCACGCCCUAAACGAUGAUCACUCGUUGUUGGCAACUAUAUCGUCAGCGACUAAGCGAAAGCAUUAAGUGAUCCACCCGGGGAGUACGAUCGCAAGGUUGAAACUCAAAGGAAUUGACGGGGGCCCGCACAAGCGGAGGAGCAUGUGGUUUAAUUCGAUGCAACGCGAAGAACCUUACCAGGUCUUGACAUCCAAAGAAUCCUGAUGAAAGUCGGGAGUGCCUUAGGGAGCUUUGAGACAGGUGGUGCAUGGUUGUCGUCAGCUCGUGUCGUGAGAUGUUGGGUUAAGUCCCGCAACGAGCGCAACCCCCGCUAUUAGUUGCUAACAUUCAGUUGAGCACUCUAAUGGGACUGCCCGUGACAAGCGGGAGGAAGGUGGGGAGGACGUCAAAUCAUCAUGCCCUUUAUGAUCUGGGCUACACACGUGCUACAAUGGAUGGUACAGAGAGCAGCGAGACAGUGAUGUGGAGCGAAUCUCAAAAAGCCAUUCUCAGUUCGGAUUGCAGGCUGCAACUCGCCUGCAUGAAGUCGGAAUCGCUAGUAAUCGCGGAUCAGCAUGUCGCGGCGA